rnacentral:rRNA from 1 species
UGGUGGAGUGAUUUGUCUGCUUAAUUGCGAUAACGAACGAGACCUUAACCUGCUAAAUAGCCCGAUCUGCUUUGGCAGUUCGCUGGCUUCUUAGAGGGACUAUCGGCUCAAGCCGAUGGAAGUUUGAGGCAAUAACA